UUGAAUUGAAGAGUUUGAUCAUGGCUCAGAUUGAACGCUGGCGGCAGGCUUAACACAUGCAAGUCGAACGGUAGCAGGAGAAAGCUUGCUUUCUUGCUGACGAGUGGCGGACGGGUGAGUAAUGCUUGGGAAUCUGGCUUAUGGAGGGGGAUAACUACGGGAAACUGUAGCUAAUACCGCGUAGUAUCGGAAGAUGAAAGUGCGGGACCGUAAGGCCGCAUGCCAUGAGAUGAGCCCAAGUGGGAUUAGGUAGUUGGUGGGGUAAAGGCCUACCAAGCCUGCGAUCUCUAGCUGGUCUGAGAGGAUGGCCAGCCACACUGGAACUGAGACACGGUCCAGACUCCUACGGGAGGCAGCAGUGGGGAAUAUUGCGCAAUGGGGGGAACCCUGACGCAGCCAUGCCGCGUGAAUGAAGAAGGCCUUCGGGUUGUAAAGUUCUUUCGGUAUUGAGGAAGGAGUGUAUGUUAAUAGCAUACAUUAUUGACGUUAAAUACAGAAGAAGCACCGGCUAACUCCGUGCCAGCAGCCGCGGUAAUACGGAGGGUGCGAGCGUUAAUCGGAAUAACUGGGCGUAAAGGGCACGCAGGCGGUUAUUUAAGUGAGGUGUGAAAGCCCCGGGCUUAACCUGGGAAUUGCAUUUCAGACUGGGUAACUAGAGUACUUUAGGGAGGGGUAGAAUUCCACGUGUAGCGGUGAAAUGCGUAGAGAUGUGGAGGAAUACCGAAGGCGAAGGCAGCCCCUUGGGAAUGUACUGACGCUCAUGUGCGAAAGCGUGGGGAGCAAACAGGAUUAGAUACCCUGGUAGUCCACGCUGUAAACGCUGUCGAUUUGGGGAUUGGGCUUUAAGCUUGGUGCCCGUAGCUAACGUGAUAAAUCGACCGCCUGGGGAGUACGGCCGCAAGGUUAAAAC
rnacentral:rRNA from 1 species